rnacentral:lncRNA from 1 species
GUUUGGUUUUAAUUAGGAAUUUAGUGCUAGUUGGUUCUGAAUGGUUGCUUUUUAUACUGGUUAUGGUUGAGUGUUUUAUGGGGGAUGGUGGAGAUUAGGAGGGGGGCACCAGGUAUGUAUUUGGGGGGGGGGUUUGUGGAUGGUCGAUUCCAUAAUGAAGUGGAUCAAUGGAUUGUUAGUUGCAAUUUGGUUUGAAUGGCUUUCCUCUCUUGUUUCUCAUAAGAAAUCUUUACCACGUCAGUGUAUCUCUACUUAUCUGUCAAUAUAAUAUUUGCACGCCUUAUAUUUUUUUAGGAUGUUUGAUUCUCCCUGAUUGCCUGUUCUCCGUUUGAAUAUUCUUCCCAUGGCAAUUGAAGUAUUGAAUCCUCCUGGGUGUUCAAAUAAGCAUAGAGGUUUAUGCUACACGUUAUUUUCAUUCUCCUGUAUGUACAACAGGUAAAGGUUAAUUAUGUCCUUCCAUAAGGUUAAUUCAGAGAUCGCAAGAUUGGAGUGGAUCCUACUUUCUCCUUCAUAUUGCCUGGACUGGUUAAUGCUACUUGAUUCAUUUUUGUUUCAUGAAGUUGAAGUUGAACCUCAGUGAAAUUGCAUCAUUGGAGGUUCAUAUAAUUAGCAUGAUGUGUUUAAGAUAGGAAUUCACAGAUUGAGAAAAAGGUAAAAUGGAAAUGCAAAAGAUUCUGUAGCAGAAGCGAAGCAACUAUCAGGACCCUCGAGUAUUACAGAAGCACCUGGUAUUACGGCUACCGCUUCACCCUGGUUUGUCGAAUUGAAACAGUGAGGUAGAAGCUUUCUAGCCAGGAUCUGUAUGGUGUUGGUAGAGGACCUGCCAGGCACACAACUAAACAAUUUAUCGGUCUUCAUCCUCACCAAGUCUUGUCUUGUAUUCCGUCUCUGUUCUUGCUACAGAAAUAGUGAGGAUAGGAGGCGGCCUGUGAAUGAAUUGUCAGCCUUGAACCUGUCCAAGUCCAGUCUUGUAUUUUGUCCGUGCUCUUGCUUUUUUCUCAAUUUUGUUUGAAUUGCUAUUUUUCUAGUUGAAAUAGUCAAACAUCUCAGCCAUCCGAUUUAAGAUUUAGUCGUAAGAUGCUGUACGCUUACAGCAAGGGUGUUGUCUGUUGGGGGCUCGAAUUGCUUUCUAGUUUGAUAGUUUCUGGAGUUUUCUCGUACUGAAAUCACGUCGAAGAGUUCCAGCAAGGAAAUUGAAUCAAUAUACCACAAAGCUACAAUGGAACCGCAUCCCAUAUAAUUUGUCAAGCUCGGUCGAAGCUGGGACAUUGAAAACUUGCAGUCAAAAUUGGCUGCAGAGUCAUAAGGAUAUUCUGUCUCUAUUCUUUUCUUUAUGAACUCUAAAACUAUAAACUAUAACUUGGAGGAUUAACUGUUGGAAAAUUUUUUAAUUAAAUAAAUUAUGUGUGAAUGAAAAAUUAAUUUCAAAUGACCCUUAGAUUUAAUAGAACUUUUGGUUUUUAUAGAUUUAAUUCUAGAUUUAUGGUGAUUAAUCAAAUGUUAAUAAUGGUGACAAUUAGUUUUUAUUAAUUAUUCAUCCUUUUAACUUUCAAAAUUCACUAUAAAAAAAGGGGGAAUGAAAGUUUUCAACUUGAGUUUUUCCUAUUUUUACACACUUUCUCACCUUUUUUUUAGUGCUCUCAUUCUGCUUUAUGCUUUGAUUUUCCUCUCAAAUUUAGAGUUUAGGUUCAUCUUGUUGAGAGAUAUUUAAGUUUCAUAUUUUUUUUAUUCAAAGACCUUGUUUAAAAGUAUAUCUAAAAUAAGGUGGUGGUAUUGGAAUCUUGAAAAUAUAUUGCAAAUAUCUUAGUUGCAUAAGUGAGACGCAAUACAGUCUCAAGAACAAAAGAUUUCAUCAUUAAAAACAAUAAAAGUCUAAUUACUUCAAAAUACUUCAACGAAUUAGUAUCUUUCUUUGUUUUAAUCUAAGCACGUAUUUUAUUAUUAGAAUGCAUGUUAAUAUUUUAUUAUUAUAUUUAUGUUAAAAACAUGUAUGCCCUGAGUUGUUAUGAUAAGUUAAAUAUCAUUGCUCACUAGUCUACUAUAUAUAUUUACAAACUUUUAUCUUACAUUAAUACCAUGAUACAAUAACCUAAUUGUUUCUAACACUUUUUUCAUGUUUAAAUCCAUGAUAUUGCUUUCAUCAUGUGCAUCCUUUUGCAACUUGAAAAGGAUCUAGCCACCUUGUUAUCUUUUCUUCUUCUUUUGAAGGGAGAAUGAUGGUUCAAUGGGGUGACUAUCCUUGUUUUUAAUGAGCAAAGUUGUUUACAUUAUCACAUUAUUUUUUUGAUCUUUUUAUUUGUGACACUAAAUAUUUUAAUGGAAUCACCAACAUAAGAGAACAUGAAUCUGAUAGCAAAAUACCUUCUAUUUUU